rnacentral:rRNA from 1 species
CUGGGCUCGAAAUGCAGUUGAACGCUCGCGAGAUCGAGUUUUCCCGCAAGGGACGGCUGCAUAGGUGCUGCAUGGCUGUCGUCAGCUCGUGUCGUGAGAUGUUGGGUUAAGUCCCGCAACGAGCGCAACCCUCAUCCCUAGUUGCUCGUUCCGGCGCAAGCCGGAGCAGCACCCUAGGGAAACCGCCUCCGAUAAGGGGGAGGAAGGUGGGGAUGACGUCAAGUCCUCAUGGCCUUUAUGUCCAGGGCUACACACGUGCUACAAUGGCCGGUACAAAGCGUCGCGAACCCGUGAGGGGGAGCCAAUCGCAAAAAGCCGGUCUCAGUUCGGAUUGCAGUCUGCAACUCGACUGCAUGAAGCCGGAAUCGCUAGUAAUCGCGCAUCAGAACGGCGCGGUGAAUACGUUCCCGGGUCUUG